GGACCCGGCUCCGCCCUACCCCACGGGGCCGCCUGGAGAGGUGCUGGGAGCUGGGUGGAGCUUAGAGGAAUUAAACUUUGGCCCUGCGCCUCGUCCAGCCUAGGUUCCACCCUUUUCUGGGAACGUGAGUAUCAACCAAGUUUACACCCCGCCACUCCUGAGCACCGCACACCGGCUUCCUCCCAGUCCCUCAUCUGAGAACUCAUGAAGCCACUUGGAAUCCCUCUCUGCUUUGCCUGGCUCAUUCCAUGUCAAUUUCAGAUCUUCACUUCAGGUCAGCUCCAAGGAGGCUAUCCUUGCCCAUCUUCCUAAAAUAGAGCUCUCAAAACCUGGCUGUUUUCCUUCAGAGCACUGGCCUCCAAUUUAAAUCCCAAGUAAGGUACCUGCCGUCGGCAGAUUUGAGCUUUCUUCUUGGACACCUAAUACCCAGAGUCCUCCAGGCUCCGGUAGAUUGCAAAUGACCUGCUUUCUUUCUGUUCCCGGGCGGCAUCGGACCCGUCGGAGAGUAAAUCCCAAGUAAGGUACCUGCCGUUGGCAGAUUUGAGCUUUCUUCUUGGACACCUAAUACCCACAG
rnacentral:lncRNA from 1 species